rnacentral:rRNA from 1 species
UUUUAUUGGGUCUAAAGGGUCUGUAGCCGGCCAAGUAAGUCCCUUGGGAAAUCUGGCAGCUUAACUGUCAGGCUGCUAGGGGAUACUGCUAGGCUUGGGACCGGGAGAGGUGAGAGGUACCUUGGGGGUAGGGGUGAAAUCUUGUGAUCCUCGGGGGACCACCAGUGGCGAAGGCGUCUCACCAGAACGGGUCCGACGGUAAGGGACGAAAGCUAGGGGCACGAACCGGAUUAGAUACCCGGGUAGUCCUAGCCGUAAACGAUGCUCGCUAGGUGUCAGUCACGGUGCGACCGUGAUUGGUGCCGUAGGGAAGCCGUGAAGCGAGCCACCUGGGAAGUAUGGCCGCAAGGCUGAAACUUAAAGGAAUUGGCGGGGGAGCACUACAACGGGUGGAGCCUGCGGUUUAAUUGGAUUCAACGCCGGAAAUCUCACCGGGGGCGACAGCGAUAUGAAGGUCAGGCUGAAGACCUUACCCGAUUAGCUGAGAGG